UACGCAACCUUCCCAGAACAGGUGAAUAGCCUUUCGAAAGAGAGAUUAAUACACCGUAAGUUAAUGAUGUGGCAUCACAUUAUUAAUAUAGUUCCGACGGUUCUGGAUGGGCGUGCGGCUGAUUAGGUAGUUGGCGGGGUAACAGCCCACCAAGCCUACGAUCAGUAACUGGUGUGAGAGCACGACCAGUCACACGGGCACUGAGACACGGGCCCGACUCCUACGGGAGGCAGCAGUAAGGAAUAUUGGUCAAUGGACGCAAGUCUGAACCAGCCAUGCCGCGUGGAGGAUGAAGGUCCUCUGGAUUGUAAACUUCUUUUAUCUGGGAAGAAACCGGACCUUUCUAGGGCCGUUGACGGUACCAGGUGAAUAAGCACCGGCUAACUCCGUGCCAGCAGCCGCGGUAAUACGGAGGGUGCAAGCGUUAUCCGGAUUCACUGGGUUUAAAGGGUGCGUAGGUGGGCUAGUAAGUCCGUGGUGAAAUCUCCAAGCUUAACUUGGAAACUGCCGUGGAUACUAUUAGUCUUGAAUGUUGUGGAGGUAAGCGGAAUAUGUCAUGUAGCGGUGAAAUGCUUAGAUAUGACAUAGAACACCGAUAGCGAAGGCAGCUUGCUACACAAUUAUUGACACUGAGGCACGAAAGCGUGGGGAUCAAACAGGAUUAGAUACCCUGGUAGUCCACGCCCUAAACGAUGGAUACUCGACAUACGCGAUACACAGUGUGUGUCUGAGCGAAAGCAUUAAGUUCCCACC
rnacentral:rRNA from 1 species